AGAGCCCCAGGGACAGCCUGGGAUUGAGCAGGCUGAUUGGCUGCCUCUUCAAAGGAACCGUCCUGUGCAGGCAUGUUAGGACCCAGCAUCAGAUCAGAUGCUUCCUGCUGUGCCCUUCAUCCCUGGACUCAAGAGGGGCAAAGAGCCCAAGAGAGGCUAUUACAGGCUCCAAGAUCUACCCAGACCCGGAGCUGGAAGUACAAGUAUUGGGCCUGCCUAUCCGCUGCAUCCACAGUGAGGAGGGCUGCCGCUGGAGUGGGCCACUACGUCAUCUACAGGUGAGGCUCUGAUGUGAGGGCUGGCACCACCUCUCCCUUGGCAGGCACUAAUUGCAGCCUUCCCACCAGGGCCACCUGAAUACCUGCAGCUUCAAUGUCAUUCCCUGCCCUAAUCGCUGCCCCAUGAAGCUGAGCCGCCGUGAUCUACCUGCACACUUGCAGCAUGACUGCCCCAAGCGGCGCCUCAAGUGCGAGUUUUGUGGCUG
rnacentral:sRNA from 1 species